AAUGCCUGUUGACAGUCAUUAGUCCAACUGAAAUCAACUACACAACCGAGUUAAAGGAGCAACAACACUCGAAAAGUUCUUGCAAAAACACCGGUAGUAUCCGACCAUUCCAAGGAAUCUACGCAGCUCUCGCCUCGUAGUGGGUACCGGAUACUCCAGAACAGAAGCCACUUUCCCAUCUAAUGGCCGAACCUGCCCAUUUCCAACCUGUUUUCCCAGGGAAGCUUCACGGGAAUACCGUAGGAAGAAGAAGGAAUACGUUAAAUCUCUUGAAAACCGCAUUGCUGAAGUGGAAAAUGAAAACAAGUCACUCAUCCAGCAAAGCGAGCAUCGGACUCGGACAGCAGUGAGGAUUCCCAGCUUCCAGGUUGCUCCUACAGUCAUAGCUCCCAGCCACCUACUGUAUGUCCCUGGCGGAUGCAGAAAUGUCAACUGAAGAAGCUGCUCCACCUAGUGUACAAGCACCAAACAGAAGCCAGACGUG